rnacentral:rRNA from 1 species
CCUACGGGAGGCUGCAGUGGGGAAUAUUGGACAAUGGGGGGAACCCUGAUCCAGCCAUGCCGCGUGUGUGAAGAAGGCCCUCGGGUUGUAAAGCACUUUCAGUGAGGAAGAACGCCUGGUGGUUAAUACCCAUCAGGAAAGACAUCACUCACAGAAGAAGCACCGGCUAACUCCGUGCCAGCAGCCGCGGUAAUACGGAGGGUGCGAGCGUUAAUCGGAAUUACUGGGCGUAAAGCGCGCGUAGGUGGCUUGAUAAGCCGGUUGUGAAAGCCCCGGGCUCAACCUGGGAACGGCAUCCGGAACUGGCAAGCUAGGGUGCAGGAGAGGAAGGUAGAAUUCCCGGGGUAGCGGUGAAAUGCGUAGAGAUCGGGAGGAAUACCAGUGGCGAAGGCGGCCUUCUGGACUGACACUGACACUGAGGUGCGAAAGCGUGGGUAGCAAACAGGAUUAGAUACCCUAGUAGUC